rnacentral:rRNA from 1 species
AAUCAACGCUGGCGGCGUGCCUAACACAUGCAAGUCGAACGCGAGAGGGGCUUCGGCCCCGAUUGAGUGGCGAACGGGUGAGUAACGCGUGGGUGACCUACCUUCGAGUGGGGGAUAACGUCCCGAAAGGGACGCUAAUACCGCAUAACAUCCUGCUUUUGAAUGGGUGGAGAUCAAAGCCGGGGAUCGCAAGACCUGGCGCUUGAUGAGGGGCCCGCGUCUGAUUAGCUAGNGGUUGAGGUAACGGCCCACCAAGGCAACGAUCAGUAUCCGGCCUGAGAGGGCGGACGGACACACUGGGACUGAGACACGGCCCAGACUCCUACGGGAGGCAGCAGUGGGGAAUUGUUCGCAAUGGGCGCAAGCCUGACGACNCAACGCCGCGUGGAGGAUGAAGGUCUUCGGAUUGUAAACUCCUGUUGCCCGGGACCGAAUGGCUCCGACCUAACACGUCGGAGUGUUGACGGUACCGGGUGAGGAAGCCCCGGCUAACUCUGUGCCAGCCGCCGCGGU